UACGUAGGGGGCAAGCGUUGUCCGGAAUUAUUGGGCGUAAAGCGCGCGCAGGCGGUUUUUUAAGUCCGGUGUUUAAAUCCAGGGCUCAACCUUGGGUCGCACGGGAAACUGGGAGACUGGAGUGCAGGAGAGGGAAGCGGAAUUCCACGUGUAGCGGUGAAAUGCGUAGAUAUGUGGAAGAACACCGGUGGUGAAGACGGUUUACUGGGCUGAUACUGACGCUGAGGCGCGAAAGCAUGGGGAGCAAACAGG
rnacentral:rRNA from 1 species